rnacentral:lncRNA from 1 species
UUUUAUUUCCUAAUCUAAUAUCCUUAAUUUUGUUUAAAGUCAUCAUGGGUUUAGUUGUCGGGAUCUUGACAAAUGGUGUUAUCUUGAGCCAAAUCAUCAUCAUAUACCAGAAGCCAACAAAGAAAGAAGGAAAACAAUAGAAGAUCAGCAAUGUGACUAUCUUUAAAUGCAAAGUUCCUCUAGAAAACCCGAUUAGCCGUCAGAGUUUGCAUACAGAACCUUUCUUUGGUUUGACAGCGUUUAUGAUUGUUAUUAUUUCUUUUUCAAAUGCAUAUGAACAGAGACAAUUAUUCGAAAGUGAUAAUAAACACUGGAAAGCCAGACUUAUACGCUGCCCAAACUUACUGUGAUUUUUUACUAGAAACUCUACAGAAAAGUGGAUUGAGCUUGAACCCACACAAUUCUGGCAUUCACUGCUAUUCAUGGAUCAGAUUCAAACAAGCGAUGAUUCCCGAGUGGAUAUAGUGUCAUGAUGGAAUAUUACAGAAAGGAUGAAAUUGUUGCACAAUUUAUUCAAAUUUGGAUGAAAUCGGUGGUACGAAUUUGUUCGAAUUUAAGAUUGAAACACGGCUAUAUUCUAUCCUAUAUCUAAAAUGUUUCAAUCUCAUCAAUCUUUUUUGUUUGUAUUACUUAAAAUCGACACUACAGGACCACAGAAAUGGUUGCAGGAUCAUUUCCUGCUGAACUUUUUGAAAUGGGUUUCUAGAUGCUGAUUAAUUGUUUUGCUUCUUGAAGUUUAGUAUGCUAGGCUACUAUUAGUGUGAU